GACGAACGCUGGCGGCGUGCCUAAUGCAUGCAAGUUGAGCGCUGAAGGUUGGUACUUGUACCGACUGGAUGAGCAGCGAACGGGUGAGUAACGCGUGGGGAAUCUGCCUUUGAGCGGGGGACAACAUUUGGAAACGAAUGCUAAUACCGCAUAAAAACUUUAAACACAAGUUUUAAGUUUGAAAGAUGCAAUUGCAUCACUCAAAGAUGAUCCCGCGUUGUAUUAGCUAGUUGGUGAGGUAAAGGCUCACCAAGGCGAUGAUACAUAGCCGACCUGAGAGGGUGAUCGGCCACAAUGGGACUGAGACACGGCCCAAACUCCUACGGGAGGCAGCAGUAGGGAAUCUUCGGCAAUGGACGAAAGUCUGACCGAGCAACGCCGCGUGAGUGAAGAAGGUUUUCGGAUCGUAAAACUCUGUUGGUAGAGAAGAACGUUGGUGAGAGUGGAAAGCUCAUCAAGUGACGGUAACUACCCAGAAAGGGACGGCUAACUACGUG
rnacentral:rRNA from 1 species